rnacentral:snRNA from 1 species
AGAUGUGAGGGCGAUCUGGCUGCGACAUUGUCGCCCCAUUGAUCGCCAGGGUUGAUUCGGCUGAUCUGGCUGGCUAGGCGGGUGCCCCCUUCCUCCCUCACCGCUCCAUGUGCGUCCCUCCCGAAGCUGCGCGCUCGGUGGAAGAGGACGACCUUCCCGCGAUAGAGGAGGACCGUUCUUCGGUCAAGGUACCGAGUAGCUGUGCUCCCCUGCUACAACCUCCAAACGAGCUCCCAAAAGACAGCUGAUUAUUAAAACAAAAAUAAUAAUGCAGUGUGGGGUUUAUAACAUAUGCAAACUAAAACAUAUGACAAAACGGUCAAAGCAU